GUAUAAUUUAUCUCAGGGUCGAUUCCUCCCAAAGAGUACCAUUAUAGUUGCACCUUUUGCUGCUGACCCUAUGGUUGGGUCUAUAAAUGUCUAAAAUUUACACUCGAAAUUUCCAUUUACAAAAUCCAUCAACAUUAGUUCAAUCACGUGAGAUGCCCUAAAAUCUAUAGCUAAUUUUAAUAGGCAAUUCCAGCUUUUAAUUUAUGCGCGCAGGGGGUGACGGGAAGUAAGGUAUCAUAUUGCUUAUUAUGCUGAAAAAUUUCAAUAAAAACUGUCGAAACAACAGAAAUAUUUCGAUAUUUACAAGCAUAAGCUAUCACACCGUGUUUACACGGCCACCAUUUAUAUUUGUUUCAACAUAAUCAGCAAUAUGAUUCCUUAUACUUCCCAUUCCCCCAUACACGCAUAAACUAAAAGCUGGAAUUGCCUAUUAGGCUAUUACAUAGGCGUACGAAACAGGGGGCAACUGCCACCCCCACAAUUUUGGAAAACCAUGGAAUUUCGGGCAAAUGCUAGGAGAAAUCAAGAAAAUUCGGGCAGAUUUAUAACAAAGUCAGUUAAAUUUAGGUAAUUUGAUUGCAAUUCUCCAUACAAG